AUUGAACGCUGGCGGCAUGCUUUACACAUGCAAGUCGAACGGCAGCGCGGGGCAACCUGGCGGCGAGUGGCGAACGGGUGAGUAAUACAUCGGAACGUACCCAGAAGUGGGGGAUAACGUAGCGAAAGUUACGCUAAUACCGCAUACGUUCUACGGAAGAAAGUGGGGGACCUUCGGGCCUCAUGCUUUUGGAGCGGCCGAUGUCUGAUUAGCUAGUUGGUAGGGUAAAGGCCUACCAAGGCGACGAUCAGUAGCUGGUCUGAGAGGACGACCAGCCACGCUGGGACUGAGACACGGCCCAGACUCCUACGGGAGGCAGCAGUGGGGAAUUUUGGACAAUGGGCGCAAGCCUGAUCCAGCAAUGCCGCGUGAGUGAAGAAGGCCUUCGGGUUGUAAAGCUCUUUUGUCAGGGAAGAAACGGCUGAGGUUAAUACCUUUGGCUAAUGACGGUACCCGAAGAAUAAGCACCGGCUAACUACGUGCCAGCAGCCGCGGUAAAAC
rnacentral:rRNA from 1 species